CCUACGGGAGGCAGCAGUAGGGAAUUUUCGGCAAUGGGGGGAACCCUGACCGAGCAACGCCGCGUGAACGAAGAAGUUAUUCGUAAUGUAAAGUUCUUUUAACAGGGAAGAAAGAGAAAUUUGACGGUACCUGAAGAGUAAGCUCCGGCUAACUACGUGCCAGCAGCCGCGGUAAUACGUAGGGGGCGAGCGUUAUCAGGAAUUAUUGGGCGAAAAGGGUGCGUAGAUGGCAUAGUAAGUCUGUUGUAAAAAUGCUGGGCUAAACCCAGUGGGGCAAAAGAUACUGGAAAGCUAGAGUAGGAGAGAGGCAAGUGGAACGACAGGUGUAGCGGUAAAAUGCGUAAAUAU
rnacentral:rRNA from 1 species